AACCGGUGACCUCUUUGUACACAGGACGAUGCUCAAUCAACUGAGCCACAGCGGCCAGGCUACUAGUGUGUGAAUCUUACCUCAUUGUAGAUUAAAUACAAUUAAGUCACCCAUUUUCAGCCCUUACAGGUUCCACCACAGAGAUCCAUUCUUACCGGGGUCCCCACCAACAAGCUUGUAUCUAAGUCCAGAAAAAACAUGUUAUUACUUGAUGUUACACAGAUGUUUCCCUACCUCGCCUUCCAGUUGACUUCUUCCCAAAGCCAAGGUGAUGAGGUCAGCACCACUCCCUCCUGCAACGCAGCCUGCACAAUAUUCCAGGAUCAAACGCUUCGCCUGGCGCUGCAUCCUGCACACAAACAGCCACGAGUCAGGCUCCCAUUGUCAACGUAUCCAGCUGCCAUCUUGUCUCAGGGACGCCUCCCACCAGGGUCCUCUCCAGUCCUCUGCCGAACACAAAACUAACUCCCUCGUGCUGCUGUUUCCUGUCGACCGGUUACCAAUUUUCUCUGUCUAAAUGUACAGUUUAUAUUCUUCAGGAAGCUUCACGCUGCUUUCCCAUCAGCAGUUUCCAAGCUGUAAGUCGUGGCCCUCAGUGGGCUACGGAGUCAGCAUGGUGCAUCUCUGGUCAGCAGACUUUCAAAGCUGUGGAAUGUUAAUGCCAUGUCGAUUGGGGUAAUAAGACAUGACAUGCCAUUAAACUGAGCAAGCCACGAUCUGGAGCAGUCUCUCUGGGGAAUCCUGGGAUCCACACUCCCAAUUCCGAGUCAAGUUCAGAUGCGGCAUCUGUCCCCUCAGGGGGACUGCUUGCUGCUGGGCGUGGGAAGGCUGUCAGUGUCCCGCAGAUGAUGUCUGUCGGCUGAGGGAACACAAAGUAUGUCUCCAAGGCAGACCCUAUGCUGCCUACCCCGAAACAGGCUUUAGGAAGUAACCAAGCAAAUGUCAUGAAGAGGCUGACCCAAUGAAAUGUACUACUUUAUUCCACCUCAGUUCAGGACUAUCAAGUCCACCACCAUCAUUCCUUAGAAUGUUCAUGAGAUUCUACACAGAUAAUCGGACAAAGAAAUGAAACGGGAAGAAGACAGCAAUUCAAGAUUUCAGAACUCAACGAAAGUUAUAAGACUAGAAGCUUUCCAGUGCUAACAAACGUCUCAUUAAUAUUAUUUUCUUUUAUCCUCACCU